AUUGAACGCUGGCGGCAUGCCUUACACAUGCAAGUCGAACGGCAGCACGGGUGCUUGCACCUGGUGGCGAGUGGCGAACGGGUGAGUAAUACAUCGGAACAUGUUCUGUAGUGGGGGAUAGCCCGGCGAAAGCCGGAUUAAUACCGCAUACGAUCUACGGAAGAAAGCGGGGGACCUUCGGGCCUCGCGCUAUAGGGUUGGUCGAUGGCUGAUUAGCUAGUUGGUGGGGUAAAGGCCUACCAAGGCGACGAUCAGUAGCUGGUCUGAGAGGACGACCAGCCACACUGGGACUGAGACACGGCCCAGACUCCUACGGGAGGCAGCAGUGGGGAAUUUUGGACAAUGGGCGAAAGCCUGAUCCAGCAAUGCCGCGUGUGUGAAGAAGGCCUUCGGGUUGUAAAGCACUUUUGUCCGGAAAGAAAACCUUGGCUCUAAUACAGUCGGGUGAUGACGGUACCGGAAGAAUAAGCACCGGCUAACUACGUG
rnacentral:rRNA from 1 species